GAUGAACGCUGACAGAAUGCUUAACACAUGCAAGUCAACUUGUGGCGGACGGGUGAGUAACGCGUAAAGAACUUGCCUCACAGAUAGGGACAACAUUUGGAAACGAAUGCUAAUACCUGAUCCUGUGAGAGAGCUUUGCGUCCCAUUAGCUAGUUGGAGAGGUAACGGCUCACCAAGGCGAUGAUGGGUAGCCGGCCUGAGAGGGUGAUCGGCCACAAGGGGACUGGGACGCGGCCCUGACGCAUACGGGAGGAAGCGGUGGGGAAUAAUGGACAAUGGACGAGAGUCUAAUACGGCAAUUCUGUGUGAAAGAUGAAGAUUUCGGAAUGUAAAGUGCUGUCAGAUGGGAGGCGUUACCAACGGAAGAAGUGACGGCAAAAUACGUGCAAGCGCCGCGGUAAUAC
rnacentral:rRNA from 1 species